CAGCAGUUUGCCACGUUUAGGAGCUGGAGGAUUCACUUGCCAUUCCACAGAGUUCUUCUUCUUUUUUUUUUUUUUUAGACAAGGUCUUGCCCUGUAGCCCAGGGUAGAUUGAAGAGGGGCGAUUUUAGCUCCCUGCAACCUCUGCCUCCUGGGCUCAAGUGAUCCUCCCACCUCAGCCUCCCAAGUAGAGUAGCUGAGUAGUUGGGACUACAAACACACGCAGCCACACCCAGCUAAUUUUUGUAUUUUUUGUAUGGAUGGGAUUUCACAAUGUUGUGCAGGCUGGUCUCAAACUCCUGGACUCAAGCAAUCUACUUGCCUCAAAAGUGCUGGGAUUACAGACAUAUGUUAGCAGAGACAUAUUUGGACCCAACCUAUAUACUUUUUCUCUAUAAAGCAUUCAAAGAACAAUGUGACGAUUACAGUUGUGUGGAAUCAGAACCCGGAACCCAACGUGACCAGACUCUCCUUGUCUUCACUGCUUGUUUCUGCUGUGCUUCUUGGAUGCUCUCCCUGUGCUAGGGAAGCAGCUGACCACAGAGAUCACAUCCUCCCAGUUUUAACCACUCCUGAAGAAAGACAGUCCCCUUCCCCAGGGUCCAUAUAUUGAUCUCACAGAAGGACCCUGAUUGGCUUUGUUUUGUGCUGUUCUCACCCUUGAAUCAAUCACGCUGCCAGAAAGGAAGGGCUCGUGAUGGGCCAAGAACUGUUUUUGUGGUGAGGAGAGCGGGUUCUGUUUCCAGGAGGAGGGAGAUGAGAAAGCUUACUGGGCAAAAGAAACAAACAAAAAAACCCCAAACCAAUUAAACAAAUACAAGCAAUAGGUACUACCAUCUGUAAACCAAUUCUGGAUAAAGAUUUGGGGAAUGGGUCUGAGAAAGGCAUACAUUUCAGUCUGGGGACAUUUUCUUUGUUCUGUCUACCCAGAGCUAAAACACCAUCGUAAGACAGGCCGUCAUGUCCCACCACAAGGAAAGAGGAAAUAGACAUCUCUUCUGCAUUUUGGGGGAGAAUGAAAUAGCAGCAAGAGAGAAUGAGAAUGUUCUGUAAAAGGCAAAUACCAAAAUAGGGUUAGACUGGGUCAGCACUCCCCUGAGUAAGUCCUCGCAGGAUGAUAAGAGGUAGUGUUAAGUGAGUAAAAGGAAGAAGAUUAGGUUACACAACAUUAGAAAGCUUUCCUUUUUGAAAGUUUUUAUAGAACUUUUAACAUACCGAAUACUUUUGAGAAUUUCAGAAGACAAUAUGGCAUGCAGAAUUUUGAAAACACGUUUAGGUAGAGAACUUUUUUAUUUAUUAAAGAAAGUGAAAAAUUACGUAAUUUUUAUACAUUGAUUAUCCUGCUAUUCUACCAGUUUUUUUUUAAUGUAAGAAAGCAAUAAAGGCUGGGAUUCCAAAUCAGGGCUUUUAUUAUAUGGUGGGUGUCUAUGGGGCCAGAAAGCCCAGCCACAAAUUCAAAAAACUUUCUGUACCUGCUGAUCUUCCUUCCCUGUGAUCACCAACAGAUCCUACAAGAAGGGUCAUUGGAAUCAUGCCACCUGAGUCAUCCCAAUUUGAUGUACCCAAACUGAUGAAAUAAAAAGAAAACAAUGCCAUGAGAAGCAUUGUAGCAUCUGCUAUGUAAUAAAGACCUAAUAAGUCAUUCAAUUUCAGGAUUCAAAAUCCAAUGCCUAGAAUACCUACACAGCUUCUCAGGAACAGGUGAGUUAUCCAUAAAACAUAUUAUUUGACAUGG
rnacentral:lncRNA from 1 species